UGCCCUUGAGGCGUGGCUUCCGGAGCUAACGCGUUAAGUCGACCGCCUGGGGAGUACGGCCGCAAGGUUAAAACUCAAAUGAAUUGACGGGGGCCCGCACAAGCGGUGGAGCAUGUGGUUUAAUUCGAUGCAACGCGAAGAACCUUACCUACUCUUGACAUCCAGAGAACUUAGCAGAGAUGCUUUGGUGCCUUCGGGAACUCUGAGACAGGUGCUGCAUGGCUGUCGUCAGCUCGUGUUGUGAAAUGUUGGGUUAAGUCCCGCAACGAGCGCAACCCUUAUCCUUUGUUGCCAGCGGUUAGGCCGGGAACUCAAAGGAGACUGCCAGUGAUAAACUGGAGGAAGGUGGGGAUGACGUCAAGUCAUCAUGGCCCUUACGAGUAGGGCUACACACGUGCUACAAUGGCGCAUACAAAGAGAAGCGACCUCGCGAGAGCAAGCGGACCUCAUAAAGUGCGUCGUAGUCCGGAUUGGAGUCUGCAACUCGACUCCAUGAAGUCGGAAUCGCUAGUAAUCGUGGAUCAGAAUGCCACGGUGAAUACGUUCCCGGGCCUUGUACACACCGCCCGUCACACCAUGGGAGUGGGUUGCAAAAGAAGUAGGUAGCUUAACCUUCGGGAGGGCGCUUACCACUUUGUGAUUCAUGACUGGGGUGAAGUCGUAACAAGGUAACCGUAGGGGAACCUGCGGUUGGAUCACCUCCUUA
rnacentral:rRNA from 1 species